rnacentral:rRNA from 1 species
ACGGGAAAACUCACCCGGCCCGGACACUGUAAGGAUUGACAGAUUGAGAGCUCUUUCUUGAUUCGGUGGGUGGUGGUGCAUGGCCGUUCUUAGUUGGUGGAGCGAUUUGUCUGGUUAAUUCCGAUAACGAACGAGACUCUAGCCURUUAAAUAGUUCGCCGAUCCCGAUGCGUCGGCGUCACUUCUUAGAGGGACAAGUGGCGUUUAGCCACACGAAAUUGAGCAAUAACAAGUCUGUGAUGCCCA